GAUGAACGCUGACAGAAUGCUUAACACAUGCAAGUCUACUUGAACUUCGGUUUGGGUGGCGGACGGGUGAGUAACGCGUAAAGAACUUGCCUCACAGAUAGGGACAACAUUUGGAAACGAAUGCUAAUACCUGAUAUUAUGAUUUUAGGGCAUCCUAGAAUUAUGAAAGCUAUAUGCACUGUGAGAGAGCUUUGCGUCCCAUUAGCUAGUUGGAAAGGUAACGGCUCACCAAGGCGAUGAUGGGUAGCCGGCCUGAGAGGGUGAUCGGCCACAAGGGGACUGAGACACGGCCCUUACUCCUACGGGAGGCAGCAGUGGGGAAUAUUGGACAAUGGACCAAGAGUCUGAUCCAGCAAUUCUGUGUGCACGAUGAAGUUUUUCGGAAUGUAAAGUGCUUUCAGUUGGGAAGAAAAAAAUGACGGUACCAACAGAAGAAGUGACGGCUAAAUACGUG
rnacentral:rRNA from 1 species